UCCCCGCCAGCCGUCGGGGCGCCGACCGAAAGCGGAGCGCUGGAAACCACGAGCGAGCGGCGGCGCGGCUGCACUCGGGCGGGCCCCCGCCGCCACCCUCGCCGGGUCUCUCGGAAGCUUGGCGGCUCCCGUUCCGGCUCUUCUAAAUCUCCUCAGGCUUUUAACUCUGCCUGGGGCUGCUUGUCAUCUAUAUGAAGCUCUCCAAAGGGACCUUAGUCCAUUCUGCAAUUCUGGAUAACCCGAAAUGUUUUCAGAAUCCAUGUCCAGGCCUGCUUUCUAUCAUCCAGGACAUAAUGUAUUUCCCCAGAAAAUUUUGACAAGAUUCUACUCAAAAGCUGUUUUAAAGGAUCCCUGGGUGGCGCAGCGGUUUGGCACCUGCCUUUGGCCCAGGGCGUGAUCCUGGAGACCCAGGUUCGAAUCCCACGUCAGGCUCCCGGUGUAUGGAGCCUGCUUCUCCCUCUGCCUAUGUCUCUGCCUCUGUGUGUGUGUAUGUGUGUGACUAUCAUAAAAAAAAAAAAUACUGUUUUAAAAAAAUGGUUCAUUGAUAGAAGAAAAGAGUUUCAGAUUGUAGCUGGCCUUUGGUAGGACUGUGAGAUAGACAAGUUACCCCUGAGAACCUCACCUUCCCUUUUGGGAGUUCUUUACCUUGUCUCCUUAUGGGUGCUACAUCCCAAACUGUAAAAAACCCUUCAGUGCUCUUCACCACCACCCUCUCCCCCCUUUUAUCAAAAUAUAUUCUUGGUUGUUACCAAAAAAUCAGAUAAGCCAAUUCACAUUGACAUACAAAUAGCUGCUAAAAGCUUAAUAAAUUACCUACAGAUGGGGGCCUAAGAGGGUACUUACUAACUGCUAGGAGAUAAUCCUUUAAUUCAAUAACCCCAAAUCACUAAUGGUAGCAAUUUGGACAUCACUAGUAGGCUAGUACAAAAUUAUUUUUUGGUUGGAAGGGAGCCAGGAGUCCUUCAAGUCAUCCCAUGGAAGUAGAUGACUGCUUCCUGGGUCAAAUAGCACCAAUAUUAAAAAUAAAAUGAAGUAAAAUAAACUUGUUGGGCCCCAACUUUCCGUUUAAAUUUCAAUUCCU